UACAGAUAUUGGGCUGAAAAACGUUUGUCCAAUCAAAUUCGAGUAUGCAACAGAGAUUAAGAGAGGAAGAAAAAGAUGUUAUGUUGUGUAUCCUACCCGUCAAUGUGUAACAUUCGCAAAGUGCCAGACAAAAAAGAAUUGCUCGAAGACAGCGAAAAGGGGCGUAAAAAGUGCUUGUUUGGCUGACCGAUUCCGUUACUUCAACGUUUGGAUAUUCUGUCCGGACAACCAUAGUUUUGAAUAUGAAACCGUGCUGUUACCUCAAUGCUGUUCUUGCAGAGAAUACAAGCGCUGUUAACAAGCCAUAAACGAAACAGCAUGGAAUACAACUGUUCUAAGGCUGAAAAUGUGUAACUCUCUAGAGUUUCUACAAUAGCUGAGCCUUUAACAUGUUGCAGGAUUUUCUUUUGCUGUUAAAUUACAUCAAUAAAAGCAUUGAUGCUAUGUUAAA